GACAGAGGGUGCAAACGUUGUUCGGAAUUACUGGGCGUAAAGCGUGUGUAGGCGGUCUUGUAAGUCGGGUGUGAAAGCCCAGGGCUCAACCCUGGAAGUGCACUCGAAACUGCAAGGCUAGAGUACCGGAGAGGUUGGUGGAAUUCUCGGUGUAGAGGUGAAAUUCGUAGAUAUCGAGAGGAACACCGGCGGCGAAGGCGGCCAACUGGACGAGUACUGACGCUGAGACACGAAAGCGUGGGGAGCAAACAGG
rnacentral:rRNA from 1 species